rnacentral:rRNA from 1 species
CAGCAGCCGCGGGAAUACGAAGGGGGCUAGCGUUGUUUGGAAUUACUGGGCGUAAAGCGCACGUAGGCGGAUAUUUAAGUCAGGGGUGAAAUCCCAGAGCUCAACUCUGGAACUGCCUUUGAUACUGGGUAUCUUGAGUAUGGAAGGGGUGAGUGGAAUUCCGAGUGUAGAGGUGAAAUUCGUAGAUAUUCGGAGGAACACCAGUGGCGAAGGCGGCUCACUGGUCCAUUACUGACGCUGAGGUGCGAAAGCGUGGGGAGCAAACAGGAUUAGAUACCCGAGUAGUCCCUGUCUCUUAUAC